rnacentral:lncRNA from 1 species
GACAAAUGGAGUUAUUGCCUCCUCAACUGAAUGAAGGGGAAUGCAAACAAGAGAAACGUUGUGGUUGUUUCAGCUGAUAAUGAAAGCAAACCACGUUUCUUGACCUUUCUGUUUGAUAUGGGUCGCUCUAACUAAUAGAUAAAUAACUUUUCUUUUAUGAGCUCUUUUUUGCUCAAUUUAGUGUCCAAUGCAGCAGGGGAAUGAAGGAAAAUUACCUGGUAAUACAACUAUUGUAAUAUAAUGCUUCUUAAUUAGCAAGAGGUAGUUAACUUUGGAUAUCAUAGCUACCAACUGGGAUUUGGAUAAAUAAUUGGAUAUGGGGAAUGACUUUUUGAGAAGUAGAAGGGGAAUGAAGGAAAAUUUUUGAGAAGGAUUUUUUUUUUUUUUGAGAAGGCGAAUGAAGGAAAAUUACCUGGUAGUAAGAUUUCUGUGUUGAAGAAUUGGUAUGAGCCACACUCAAAAUGGCUUUAUUCAACUGUGAGUUUGUCACCUAAAUAAUUGAUCAUAUCUACAUACGUAUAUUAAUAUGAAUUAACAAACUUUUUUUUUUUGCAAGUGUACUUGAUCCAUUACAAGUGAAUGUUAUCAUCAUCAUUUAUAUAGUCAAGAUUUCUGUUAUGAGAAUAAGAAAUUGUAGCAGGAAGAGUAUAAGGCAAAACUUGUCGAGGAAACAGGGUUCCAACUGAAGCAAAUAAAUAACUGGUUCAUCAAUCAAAGCAAGCGCAAUUGACAUAGCAAUU